rnacentral:rRNA from 1 species
UUGUAGYAAUACAAGGCAGACGGCUCAGUAACGCGUAGUCAACCUACCCUAUGGACGGGAAUAACCUCGGGAAACUGAGUAUAAUGCCCGAUAGAACAUUAUGCCUGGAAUGGGUUUAUGUUCCAAAUGAUUUAUCGCCRUAGGAUGGGACUGCGGCCUAUCAGUUUGUUGGUGAGGUAAUGGCCCACCAAGACUAUUACAGGUACGGGCUCUGAGAGGAGURGCCCGGAGAUGGGUACUGAGACACGGACCCAGGCCCUAUGGGGCGCAGCAGGCGAGAAAACUUUGCAAUGUGCGAAAGCACGACAAGGUUAAUCCGAGUGGUUUCUGCUAAAGGAACCUUUUGUUAGUCCUARAAACACUAACGAAUAAGGGGUGGGCAAGUUCUGGUGUCAGCCGCCGCGGUAAAA